rnacentral:ncRNA from 1 species
UACGCGCUGUCCGAAUAGGGAAUACGGUGAAAAUCCGUGACUGCCCCCGCAACUGUAAGCGGUGAGUGCUUCGCGCAAGACCACUGGGCUAAUGGCCUGGGAAGGUGCGAUCCGCAUGAUGACCCGCAAGUCAGGAGACCUGCCAUCAUAUGU